AGAGUUUGAUCAUGGCUCAGAGCGAACGCUGGCGGCAUGCUUAACACAUGCAAGUCGUACGGGCAGUAGCAAUACUGUCAGUGGCGGACGGGUGAGUAACGCGUAGGUAUCUGUCUCUGGGUGGGGGAUAACAGUGGGAAACUACUGCUAAUACCGCAUGAAGCCUGAGGGCUAAAGGCGCGAGUCGCCUGGGGAGGAGCCUGCGUCCGAUUAGCUAGUUGGUGGGGUAAAGGCCUACCAAGGCGACGAUCGGUAGCUGGUCUGAGAGGAUGAUCAGCCACACUGGGACUGAGACACGGCCCAGACUCCUGCGGGAGGCAGCAGUGGGGAAUAUUGGACAAUGGGGGCAACCCUGAUCCAGCAAUGCCGCGUGGGUGAAGAAGGUCUUCGGAUUGUAAAGCCCUUUUGGCGGGGACGAUGAUGACGGUACCCGCAGAAUAAGCCCCGGCUAACUUCGUGCCAGCAGCCGCGGUAAUACGAAGGGGGCUAGCGUUGCUCGGAAUGACUGGGCGUAAAGGGCGCGUAGGCGGUGAUCAAAGUCAGGCGUGAAAUUCCUGGGCUCAACCUGGGGGCUGCGCUUGAUACUUGGUUGCUUGAGUGGGGAAGAGGGUCGUGGAAUUCCCAGUGUAGAGGUGAAAUUCGUAGAUAUUGGGAAGAACACCGGUGGCGAAGGCGGCGACCUGGUCCUUGACUGACGCUGAGGCGCGAAAGCGUGGGGAGCAAACAGGAUUAGAUACCCCCGUAGUCC
rnacentral:rRNA from 1 species